UGGACUGCCUGGUUGCCUCUGCGA
rnacentral:siRNA from 1 species